GCGGCGGUAGCUCAGUGGUAGAGCCCCCGAUUGGCAUGUAGGGAGGUCUGGGUUCGAUUCUCGGCUGCUCUG
rfam:Toxocara canis scaffold284, whole genome shotgun sequence.